AUCACUAAUUAAGGGUCUAGUUUUAAAUAUUCAUCAUCGAAAUGAUUAAUACGCACAAAGCCAUCCUCUCCACCAGUAGUAAAACUCAUACCAUCAGGGGCAUAGACUAAGGCAUUCAUAGUACCAAAGUGACCUUUAAUAGCGCCAAGCUCAGUACCAUAAAUCAUGUGCAUAAUUAGAGUCUGAAAUUUACCUUCUUGAGUACCAGUAGUCGUGACAUCUUGUGCGAGUUGGCCACCUCCAAGUAAAAUGUGUCUCUUUGGGUCUUUUUCUUUGUUAAAGUUUGGAGAUAUAGAACAGCCAUUCAAAAGACGAUUAGUUGUAUACUUUCUAAUUUCCUUUAAGUUUACCAUAUCCCAUAACUUUGCUGUCAUAUCAUGGCUACAUGUUAACAUUAAGGUUCUAUCCUCAGAGAAUGAACAGCAUGUGAGUAACUUAGAAUGGGCUCUAAGAACCUCAUAUGGCUCCGAACUUUGCCUGAUAUCCCAAAUGUAAAUACCUCCAUCUUCAUGACCAGAAAUAAUAUUUUGAUCAAACAUACCCCAGUGAGCUCGUGUGAUUCUGCUGUUGAUUCCUGUAAUUCUAACGCCCUCCAUAUUUGGAUCACCGACUUUCUUUAUAAGUAACUGACGAGGCUCUGGAUAGAAUUGGUCUACAGCAACAACAAACUUGUCUUGAUUAUCAUACUUUCUAUUGAACUCAACAAAACGGCAAGUACCGCUCAUAGGAUAAGAGGAGAUUAUCUCUGCUCUUUCGAUAUCAAAGCUCACGCACUUCUGGUCUGCUGAAGACAUUAUCAAAGUUUUCCCAUCUAAUGAUGGGUCACAAUUCCAAACUGCUGCUCUUCCGGCCUCGUAUUUAGCAGCAACCUUUCCAUCGGAUGUAAAUGAACAUGCAACUGAACCAUCCUAUAAUUAAUAAUAUUAAUAUUAGUUAAAUUAGUUCUCAGUAAUUUUCCCAGUAUUACUUAAAUGGAAAAAUUUACAAAAUUAAAUGACUUACCUUGCCACAUGAAAAUACCAGAUCUCCGUCAAAAUUAUAAGUUACAAAUGUAAUAGGACGCUCAUGAGCUUGUAAUACUAUUGGCCUCAUUUUAUUUAUUCUUUUCAGA
rnacentral:sRNA from 1 species